AUGAAAUCUAGAUUGUUUGUUUGCUGUUUCCCAAUCCGUCUUGAUUUUACCUCUUUCCUCUUGAUGUGUGUGUGUGUUUGGGUGUGGCUGCCGCCACCCCUUUUUUUU
rnacentral:sRNA from 20 species